rnacentral:misc_RNA from 1 species
UUAGCCCUCCUGCUACGCUGAUGUCAACUCGACGUCAAGCAUUUAAAGAAAGAUUACAACAAGGCAUUUUUAAACCUGACAGCAUUGAUGUUUCUCUGGAGAGUUUCCCAUAUUAUUUAAGUGAUACGACCAAAAAUGUUCUGAUUGCAUCCAUGUUCAUUCACUUGAAGUGUAAUAAAUUUGUAAAGCAUGCCUCAGACCUUCCUAUUUUGAGCCCACGCAUACUGUUAUCUGGACCUGCAGGUUCAGAAAUAUACCAGGAAACUUUGACGAAGGCACUUGCUCAGCAUUUUGGGGCCAGAUUACUAAUAGUGGAUUCUCUUCUUUUGCCUGGUGGACCAACACCCAAGGAUGUUGAUGUUGUUAAAGAUAGCUCGAGGCCUGACAGGACAUCUGUUUUCGCUAAAAGAGCUGUGCAGGCAGCGGCGGCUGCUGCUGCUGCUGCUUCGCAGAACAAGAAACCUACUUCCAGUGUUGAGGCUGAUAUAGCAGGUGGAUCUACUUUAAGCUCGCAGGCUUUGCCAAAACAGGAAGCAUCCACGGCUUCAUCAAAGACCACUGCUUUUAAGACAGGUGACAAAGUUAAAUUUGUGGGUACUUUAUCUUCUGCGCUUUCACCUCCACUUCAAAGUUGUCCUCUCAGGGGACCCUCUUAUGGUUGUCGGGGGAAAGUUGUCCUUGCUUUUGAAGAGAAUGGAUCCUCAAAAAUAGGGGUGAGAUUUGACAAAUCAAUUCCAGACGGUAACGAUCUAGGCGGCCUUUGUGAAGAAGAUCAUGGCUUCUUUUGUUCUGCUAAUCAUCUACUUCGUUUGGAUGGUCCUGGAGGCGAUGAUACUGAUAAGCUUGCUAUUGAUGAAGUUUUUGAGGUUGUCUCAAAUGAGAGUAAGAACAGCCCGCUAAUAUUGUUUGUAAAAGACAUAGAAAAGGCAAUGGUGGGCCACUCAGAUGCUUACUCUAUUCUAAAGGGCAGGCUUGAAAACUUGCCGGGAAAUGUUGUUGUUAUUGGCUCCCACACCCAUAUGGAUAAUCGGAAAGAAAAGUCCCAUCCUGGUGGUCUUCUAUUUACCAAGUUUGGAAGCAACCAAACGGCGUUGCUUGAUCUUGCUUUCCCGGAUAAUUUUGGCAGAUUGCACGAUAGAAACAAAGAAACUCCAAAAGCGACAAAGCAACUUAGUCGGCUCUUUCCUAACAAAGUGACCAUAUUGCCUCCUCAGGAUGAGGCCUUGCUUUCAGAGUGGAAGCAACAAUUGGAACGUGAUACUGAAACUCUGAAAACACAGGCAAAUAUCGUCAGCAUCCGCUUGGUUCUCAAUCGAAUUGGUUUGGAUUGUUCUAACCUUGACACACUCUGCAUUAAAGAUCAAACACUAACACUUGAAACCGUUGAGAAAGUUGUAGGCUGGGCUUUGAGUCACCAUUUCAUGCAUUUUUCUGAAGUGUUGGUUAAGGAUGCUAAACUCAUCAUUUCUACAGAAAGCAUUGAGUAUGGGUUGAACAUUUUACAUGGUCUUCAGAGCGAGAACAAGAGCUUGAAGAAGUCACUCCGGGAUGUCGUUACUGAGAAUGAAUUUGAAAAGAAACUUCUUGCUGAUGUUAUUCCACCUGGUGACAUCGGUGUUACAUUUGAAGACAUUGGUGCUUUAGAGAAUGUGAAGGACACGUUGAAGGAAUUGGUGAUGCUUCCUCUACAGAGGCCUGAAUUGUUUUGCAAAGGGCAGUUAACAAAGCCAUGCAAAGGAAUUUUACUUUUUGGUCCACCUGGUACUGGAAAAACAAUGCUUGCUAAAGCUGUUGCAACUGAGGCUGGUGCGAACUUUAUCAACAUCUCCAUGUCAAGCAUUACUUCUAAGUGGUUUGGUGAGGGUGAAAAAUAUGUAAAGGCAGUGUUUUCUCUAGCAAGUAAAAUUGCUCCAAGUGUUGUGUUUGUUGAUGAGGUUGAUAGCAUGUUAGGAAGACGUGAAAAUCCAGGAGAACAUGAGGCUAUGCGCAAAAUGAAAAAUGAAUUUAUGGUGAAUUGGGAUGGGUUGCGAACAAAAGAUAAAGAACGUGUACUGGUACUUGCUGCCACCAAUAGGCCAUUUGAUCUUGAUGAGGCUGUGAUAAGGAGACUUCCUCGGAGAUUGAUGGUUAACUUGCCAGAUGCCCCAAAUAGAGAGAAGAUUUUGAGAGUUAUACUGGCCAAAGAAGAAUUGGCUGCUGACGUUGAUUUAGAGGCAAUUGCAAAUAUGACUGAGGGAUAUUCUGGAAGUGAUUUGAAGAAUCUGUGUGUAACCGCAGCACACUGCCCCAUCAGAGAAAUUUUGGACAAGGAGAAGAAGGAGAGAGUCUCUGCUUUGACUGACAACAAACCCUUACCUGCACUAUAUAGCAGCACCGACGUUCGUCCUCUAAAAAUGGAGGACUUCAGAUUUGCACAUGAGCAGGUGUGUGCGAGCGUCUCAUCAGAGUCAACAAACAUGAACGAGCUCCUCCAAUGGAACGACCUGUAUGGAGAAGGCGGGUCGAGGAAGAAGACG